GAUGAACGCUGGCGGCGUGCUUAAUACAUGCAAGUCGAACGGAGAGUGUAGCAAUAUGCUCUUAGUGGCGAACGGGUGAGUAACGCGUUGGUGACCUGCCCCGAAGUGAGGGAUAACGGUUCGAAAGGGCUGCUAAUACCUCAUGUGGUCGUGAUGGUUAGAUACUUCACGUCUAAAGGAGUAAUUCGCUUCGGGAGGGGCCUGCGUCCCAUCAGCUAGUUGGUAGGGUAAUGGCCUACCAAGGCGACGACGGGUAGGGGACCUGAGAGGGUGACCCCCCACACUGGCACUGAAACACGGGCCAGACACCUACGGGUGGCAGCAGUAGGGAAUAUUGCACAAUGGGCGAAAGCCUGAUGCAGCAACGCCGCGUGCGCGAUGAAGGCCUUCGGGUUGUAAAGCGCUUUUCGGGGAGAUGAGGAAGGACAG
rnacentral:rRNA from 1 species